rnacentral:miRNA from 1 species
UGAUGGAAAAUUUGUUAA